rnacentral:rRNA from 1 species
AGAGUUUGAUCCUGGCUCAGAUUGAACGCUGGCGGUAUGCUUAACACAUGCAAGUCGAACGGUAACAGGCCUUCGGGCGCUGACGAGUGGCGGACGGGUGCGUAACGCGUAGGAAUCUGCCUGUUAGUGGGGGACAACUUGGGGAAACUCAAGCUAAUACCGCAUACGCCCUACGGGGGAAAGCGGGGGACCUUCGGGCCUCGCGCUAACAGAUGAGCCUGCGUUGGAUUAGCUAGUUGGUAGGGUAAAGGCCUACCAAGGCGACGAUCCAUAGCUGGUCUGAGAGGACGAUCAGCCACACUGGGACUGAGACACGGCCCAGACUCCUACGGGAGGCAGCAGUGGGGAAUAUUGGACAAUGGGCGCAAGCCUGAUCCAGCAAUACCGCGUGUGUGAAGAAGGCCCUAGGGUUGUAAAGCACUUUCAAUGGGGAGGAAAACCUGCCGGUCAAUACCCGGUAGCUUGACAUUACCUAUAGAAGAAGCACCGGCUAACUCCGUGCCAGCAGCCGCGGUAAUACGGAGGGUGCGAGCGUUAAUCGGAAUUACUGGGCGUGAAGCGUGCGUAGGCGGCUCGUUAAGUCAGAUGUGAAAGCCCUGGGCUCAACCUGGGAACUGCAUUUGAAACUGGCGAGCUCGAGUUGAGUAGAGGGGAGUGGAAUUUCAGGUGUAGCGGUGAAAUGCGUAGAUAUCUGAAGGAACACCAGUGGCGAAGGCGACUCCCUGGACUCAAACUGACGCUGAGGUACGAAAGCGUGGGUAGCAAACAGGAUUAGAUACCCUGGUAGUCCACGCUGUAAACGAUGUCAACUAGCCGUUGGUCCUAUAUACAGGAUUAGUGGCGCAGCUAACGCAUUAAGUUGACCGCCUGGGGA